AUUGAACGCUGGCGGCAGGCCUAACACAUGCAAGUCGAGCGGAUGACGGGAGCUUGCUCCUUGAUUCAGCGGCGGACGGGUGAGUAAUGCCUAGGAAUCUGCCUGGUAGUGGGGGACAACGUUUCGAAAGGAACGCUAAUACCGCAUACGUCCUACGGGAGAAAGCAGGGGACCUUCGGGCCUUGCGCUAUCAGAUGAGCCUAGGUCGGAUUAGCUAGUAGGUGAGGUAAUGGCUCACCAAGGCGACGAUCCGUAACUGGUCUGAGAGGAUGAUCAGUCACACUGGAACUGAGACACGGUCCAGACUCCUACGGGAGGCAGCAGUGGGGAAUAUUGGACAAUGGGCGAAAGCCUGAUCCAGCCAUGCCGCGUGUGUGAAGAAGGUCUUCGGAUUGUAAAGCACUUUAAGUUGGGAGGAAGGGUUGUAGAUUAAUACUCUGCAAUUUUGACGUUACCGACAGAAUAAGCACCGGCUAACUCUGUGCCAGCAGCCGCCGUAAAAC
rnacentral:rRNA from 1 species